CAGUAGCCGCGGUAAAACGGAGGGUGCGAGCGUUAAUCGGAUUUACUGGGCGUAAAGCGUGCGUAGGCGGCUUCUUAAGUCGGAUGUGAAAUCCCUGAGCUUAACUUAGGAAUUGCAUUCGAUACUGGGAAGCUAGAGUAUGGGAGAGGAUGGUAGAAUUCCAGGUGUAGCGGUGAAAUGCGUAGAGAUCUGGAGGAAUACCGAUGGCGAAGGCAGCCAUCUGGCCUAAUACUGACGCUGAGGUACGAAAGCAUGGGGAGCAAACAGGAUUAGAUACCCCAGUAGUCCCUGUCUCUUAUAC
rnacentral:rRNA from 1 species